UACGAAGGGGGCUAGCGUUGUUCGGAAUCACUGGGCGUAAAGGGCGCGUAGGCGGCUUUUCAAGUCGGGGGUGAAAGCCUGUGGCUCAACCACAGAAUUGCCUUCGAUACUGUUAGGCUUGAGACCGGAAGAGGUGAGUGGAACUGCGAGUGUAGAGGUGAAAUUCGUAGAUAUUCGCAAGAACACCAGUGGCGAAGGCGGCUCACUGGUCCGGUUCUGACGCUGAGACGCGAAAGCGUGGGGAGCAAACAGG
rnacentral:rRNA from 1 species